UCCAAAGGAAUUGACGGGGACCGCACAACGGUGGAAGCAAUGUGGUUUAAUACGACGCUUACGCGUGGAACCUUACCAGGGCUUGACAUGCAUGAAGUAAGGAAGCUUGAAAGCCAGACGACCCGUUAAGUCGGGAACCUGCACAGGUGUUGCAUGGCUGUUCGUCAGCUCGUGUCGUGAGAUGUUGGGUUAAGUCCCGCAACGAGCGCAACCAUCGUCAUUAGUUGCUACUCCGGUUCGCCGGAGGCACUCUAGUGAGGCUGCCAGUGUUUAACUGGAGGAAGGUGGUGACGACGUCAAGUCAGUACGGCCCUUAUGCCCUGGGCCACACACGUGCUACAAUGGCCGGUACAGAGAGAAGCAAACCCGCAAGGCGGAGCAAAUCUCAAAAAGCUGGUCUCAGUUCAGAUUGAAGGCUGCAAUUCGCCUUCAUGAAGCUGGAAUCGCUAGUAACCGCAGAUCAGCUAUGCUGCGGUGAAUACGUUCCCGGGUCUUGUACACACCGCCCGUCAAGUCACCUGAGCCGAGUGCACCCGAAGUCACUAUUCCAACCCUCACGGGGGGAAGGUGCCGAAGGUGUGUUUGGUGAGGAGGACUAAGUCGUAACAAGGUAGCC
rnacentral:rRNA from 1 species